AGGACGAACGCUGGCGGCGCGCCUAACACAUGCAAGUCGAGCGAGAACCAGGGCUUGCCCUGGGGAAAGCGGCGAACGGGUGCGUAACACGUGAGCAACCUGCCCCAAAGACCGGGACAACCCGAGGAAACUCGGACUAAUACCGGAUGCCCUCACCGGGCCGCAUGGUCUGGUGAGGAAAUGGAUUCCGCUUUGGGAUGGGCUCGCGGUCUAUCAGCUUGUUGGUGGGGUAACGGCCUACCAAGGCGACGACGGAUAGCUGGUCUGAGAGGACGAUCAGCCACACUGGGACUGAGACACGGCCCAGACUCCUACGGGAGGCAGCAGUGGGGAAUCUUGCGCAAUGGGGGAAACCCUGACGCAGCGACGCCGCGUGCGGGAUGAAGGCCUUCGGGUUGUAAACCGCUUUCAGCAGGGACGAAAUUGACGGUACCUGCAGAGAAGGCCCGGCAACUACGUGCCAGCAGCCGC
rnacentral:rRNA from 1 species